rnacentral:lncRNA from 1 species
CUCCGAUCCCGACCUCGCGUGGCAACGCCUUCCGCCGCUUAUCAGCCCGCCCAGUGCGUUGCCACCUCUCCAUUGACCCCUGGUGGUGCGAGCAGGAUGGUAAGUUGUUCUCUCACCAUGGUUUGGCCUCCUGCCGCGAUGUAUCUCUGUGCUCGAGCUGAGUCCUGAUAGCUACUGGCCCUCCCUCUUGUCCCUCCUCACAUCCGCACACAACACACGCAAGGUGGAUUCAAUUCAAUGGGACACACAGGAAGCAGAGGAAAAGCAGAGUAGUAUAGGUUCAGAGAGAGAGAGAGAGAGACAAGUUUUCUAUUUAGGCAAAGAAUGAUUUUCUUUUUGUUUUGUUUUUUCCGCUGUAACAGAUACAACAAUUGAGCUAAGCAACGAAUGCCCACUCUUAUUUAUACACGAUUUUAAUCACUGCUAGGGACCGACUUGGCUGCAACAUAUGCAGUCAAUACACUAAUCCUAGACUAGCCAAACCUGAAUUGUCCACGAACACACACAGGCUGCAAGUCUAAAAUGCACACAAUCACAUGACAGUGUUCACAUUGCACUAACAACUGUUUAACUACUGUCAGGUUUAAGCCAACAAGGCCACUAUGCCAAGAUCAGUUGUAGCCACUUAAGCUCAGCAGUAAUGUCCUUUUCUUUGGGUGAGGCAAAAUUUGUGCUGGAUUUUAGAAAAUAGAACAUUCUUGACAGUGAUAACAUGAGAUCUGGUCAUGUAAUGUGGUUCUUCUAAUCAAGGAAGCCAUGACUUGUGAGGAUUAGUUAUGCUUUAUUGAUGUUUCUAGAUGUGGGCAUAAUUAUGAUCAUAAGUUUGUAACUUUAACCUUGUCAGUACGUAACAUCCGUAGCAUAUGAAUAACAAAGCUCAAAGUUCUAGAGGUAAAUAUCUCUUUUGUUAUAUUUGCGUGACACUAGUUUGGACUUCCAAUUCUUUCCACCUGCUAUGUUUACUUUUUAUAUCAUCUAUCAAUUCUUAGAAUUGUCAUCUCCUCUAGCUAACUUUUGUGGGCAGGUAUAGUUUAUACAAGUUUUAAAAUGUGCGGUAGGAAUAGUUUUUGCCAUCUUGUGACCCACAAUUGGCAACUAAUGUCAAAACCAUCACUAUUACUUUGUAACCGAGUCAAAUUAUCAUUUUGUCUUAAUGAUAGAACAGAGAGUUGAAGCUAUCUAAGUAUACCCAAGGGAUGUGAAAUUUACAUCAAAUGGUUCAAGAGCUGGCACCUCCCCCACGCAUGCUCAUUGCAGCAUGGGAAGGCCAUGCGCGACGGCAUUGCUGCUGGGGAAAUCAGUGACGAGGGUGGCUGGGAAAAACAAAAUCAUGGUGUGGAACUGAAUUUAUUCUAGGUAUGUUUUUUCCGCUUCUCAAGUCCAUCUCAAUCCCUGUCCAUAUUUCCUUACUUUUUCUCUGGAUUCUAUAUAGGUUAGGUCAAUGAGGGUUUAUAACUUGGUACAAAGUUUCGCGAGGACUCAGCUUCUUGGGAUGCAGAAGGGAAAGUUAAGUUGAUAUGUCUUAAUUAAUGAAAAACAUGUCAAGAGGAACACGUGUUCUUAUAUAGGUACUAUUUGGGAGAUGGUCAGGUACUGUAGGUUGUAUAGUUUAUAUAUUUGGGUGAUGGUUCUAUCAUGCGUAGUUAAAACUUGCCUAUUGACAAACCAUCACCUACUGCAAAUGACGCAUGGGUGUUGCAGAUCAUGCAUCAUGGGUAUUUGCUUCUAAUAUGACGAUUCAAUCAUUCUACUUUUGGUCCAAUGGCAAGGAUACACUGACUCUGAUUCUUUUUUGAGUUUCUGUGGACAUUGCUUGAUCUGGAUUACGAUAAGAGAUCAAUUGUUAAGGUUGUACCGAACCACGUAUUUACUACUGAGCAGUACUAUAGUCUCUUAGUUAUGCUUUUAAAAGUAAAUUUCAUGUCUACCAAUGAUUAGAGAUUUUAGAAAACCUUAGGCAGAAGCUUUCUUGCCAAAGAAAGGCCCUUCAGAAGCUACUACAUGUAUAUG